rnacentral:rRNA from 1 species
UACGUAGGGUGCACGCGUUAAUCGGAAUUACUGGGCGUAAAGCGUGCGCAGGCGGCUUUGCAAGUCAGAUGUGAAAUCCCCGGGCUUAACCUGGGAACUGCGUUUGAAACUACAAGGCUAGAGUGUGGCAGAGGGGGGUGGAAUUCCACGUGUAGCAGUGAAAUGCGUAGAGAUGUGGAGGAACACCGAUGGCGAAGGCAGCCCCCUGGGUUAACACUGACGCUCAGGCACGAAAGCGUGGGGAGCAAACAGG